UUGUUUUUCUGAGAGCUACGAGACGAACGGAGAAGAUCGGAACAAGAUGAUGUCCGGUGGGAACUACACGACUAUCGACAGUCAGAAAGUCUCUAGAUUUGUUUCUUCUGUUCCAGAUCCAGGCCAUACCACCGUCAAAUUCGCAGGAGUUGAAGUGAAAUCAGGUGCGCCUCUUAAGGUUACUCCUGAAGAAGACAACCUCAUCCACAUUUCUCAGGUUAUUUUCAAUUUUUUUUUACACAGCUUGUUUAAAUUUCGUAGUUUUAGUGUAAUAUGUAGUUUGAUUCUGGUUUCUCUAUGUGGUAGGCAACCUUGACUGUAAGGGGAAGAUGACAUGCAUAUGAUAUUGUUUGUAUGAGUAAUUUUGAUUAGUAAUGUACAUCUUACAGUUCCAUUCUGAUUAGAGAACACGAGUCGGGAGUUUGCUGCGUCUGACUUGUUUUGCAUAGCGCUUGAUGUUAGCUACCUUCGGUCUUACUUAAUCGAUCCUUAGAUUAUGUUUGUACUAGAAGAUAUUGAUCUGUCUCAGUUCAGUUCUGAGAUAGUCCUAUGUGGUUUCGAUGAUUGGAUGCAUUUGGUUAUCUUGUUAACCCUCUUCGGAUUAAUUUUGUUUGAUGUUCGUUCGCAGGGAAAACCACAUUUGUAAAGAGACAUCUUACUGGAGAGUUUGAGAAGAAGUAUGAACCCACUAUUGGUGUUGAGGUUCAUCCUCUAGAUUUCUUCACUAACUGUGGCAAGAUCCGUUUUUACUGUGGAGGCUCCCAAAACUUUUCCCCAAGCUGUUCCUGCUGUUGUACCUGCCAAUGGAAAUGCUAAAGCUGCUGUUGUGAAGGCUGACUCAAAGCUAAAGGCUAAGCCUGCAGAAGUUGCGCCUCAAUCAGAAGAUGAUGAGGAUGACUCCGACGAGGAAGAUGAGUCUGAUGACGAUGAUGACUAUGAGAAAGGAGUGAGUUUUUGUAGAUGUCUAGUAUAUGUACAUACAUUUAUAUUUUAAUUUUCAAAUAUGUUUUAUGAUUAAUUUUUAUAAGUUUUCACUUUA